ensembl:lncRNA
UUAGUAUACUUAUUUUAAACUAAAAAAUAGGAAAGUAUACUUUUAGUUUACUUUUUAUGUACUUCUCAGAAAUGGGCUUUAUGUACUUCUAAGAUAUAUACUUAUAAUGACAAUUAAGUAUACUUGACUUAUACUUACAAAAACUCAAAAUAUACUUGAACUUUACUUAAGUAUACUUAAUAAAAUAAACUUGAAGUAUACUACUUUUUGGUAAGGGGUGUCAUGCUGCGUGAAGUGUUUCAGGACCCAAUGUCAGAGAUCCAUCUCCUAUUCUACCAGUCGACACUGAUGAUAUUUACACAUUUCAACCUGCUCUUCCAGCGGAAAGACCCUUGUGUCUAUCUCCUUCAUGAACAAGUACAUAACACUUAUUGUUGCAUUUAGUUUGUUAUUUGUAGUUGCACUCUCAAAUAUAUUCAAAGUUAUUUGUCUACUAUACUAUUAACUUAACUAUUUUAGAGUUAUUUUAGCCCUGUGCCUUAAGUAAUUGUGCAAAUAGGGAUCAUUUUCAAGGGGGUAUAUUUUUUAGGGUAAUGUGUGGGAGUCCGUAUUUUCGAUAACCUAAGACUUUAACUUUUAUUUAUGCAUUCAAGAUCAGGUUUUUCAUCAAGAAACUCCUGUCCAAGUUUUUGAAACCAGGAGCUUUUAGAGGGGUCAAUGUGGACACAGGGAUGAGGAGAGCCAAUUGCCAGGUGAAUAUUAGGAGUAACAAAAACAAAGGUUUUAUAUAAAAUUUUCAUUGAAUGCAGGUCUUCUGUUACUCUAAGCACUAAAUUAUCCAUACAUACCUUUUGGAUUCUCAGCUUGAUGUUGGCUUCACAGCAAAGAUGACAUUAAACCGCCUUGUGGAAGCAGGUGAUAUCUCCAAGGACUCUGCUAAGCUAAGCUCCCUCUACAUGACCCUGUGCUGGAGCAUUCAAGAUUUGUUGACUUCAGACAAAAAAUGGAUACCAGCUUGGAUGAUGUGCUCUACUUUUUUCAUAGAUUCAACCAUCUCCUGCCCUACAACCAACCAAGGGAGCAGGACCAGCUGAAUGAUGAGUUCCUUGAGUAUCAAAUGAUGGAGGAGGAGGAUAUCCCAGCAUCCAUCUGCGGAGAAGCAGUCAUCCGGACAAACAAGGAUGGGGAGUACCACAGGAUGGACCAUCUAUGGGGAUACCUUGGAAGUCUGAAGAAUCGGGCAAGUGGCAUUUUAAAAUUCCCCAAAUUAUCAAAGGUUGCCCAGAUUGUUCUACCACACUCAAAUGCGGAUGCUGAGCGAACCUUUUCAGUUAUUGGCCUAAAAAAGAUUGACACUAGGAAUAGACUGUAACUUGAUGGCACCCUGUUAUCAAUCAUGACAAUGAAAAUGAGCAGCCUUGAACCCUGCUUCAGAUACGAACCUCCUGCAGAGGUAGUGAAGCAGGCCAAAACUGCCACUGUGGCAUACAACAGACCUAAUUUGUGAAUCUUGUGUGUUGUGGUUUUCUGGGCAAGUGGAGUAACUAUUAUGUGUCCCUUUUGUUUUGAUAUUUCUUAUUGUUCUGAUGUUGUUGUUUUACAUGUUAUUUAAUCACCUUUAUUUUGUUCACCUUUAUCUUUAUUUUUUUAUAGUGCAAUCAAUAAAUUAAUUGUACAUCUUGAAAAAGCGUUUCCA